rnacentral:rRNA from 1 species
CCUACGGGGGGCAGCAGUCGGGAAUAUUGCGCAAUGGAGGCAACUCUGACGCAGUGACGCCGCGUAUAGGAAGAAGGUUUUCGGAUUGUAAACUAUUGUCCUCAGGGAAGAAAAAAGACUGUACCUGAGAAGAAAGCUCCGGCUAACUACGUGCCAGCAGCCGCGGUAAUACGUAGGGAGCAAGCGUUAUCCGGAUUUACUGGGUGUAAAGGGAGCGUAGGUGGCAGGGCAAGUCAGAUGUGAAAACCCGGGGCUCAACUCCGGGAGUGCAUUUGAAACUGUCCAGCUAGAGUGCAGGAGAGGUA